rnacentral:tRNA from 1 species
GGGCAGGUGGCCGAGUGGUUAAAGGCGACAGACUGUAAAUCUGUUCUCUCCGGAGUACACAGGUUCGAACCCUGUCCUGCCCA